rnacentral:rRNA from 1 species
UACGGAGGGUGCAAGCGUUGUCCGGAAUUAUUGGGCGUAAAGAGCUCGUAGGCGGUUUGUCGCGUCUGCCGUGAAAUCCCGAGGCUCAACCUCGGGUCUGCAGUGGGUACGGGCAGACUAGAGUGUGGUAGGGGAGAUUGGAAUUCCUGGUGUAGCGGUGGAAUGCGCAGAUAUCAGGAGGAACACCGAUGGCGAAGGCAGAUCUCUGGGCCAUUACUGACGCUGAGGAGCGAAAGCAUGGGGAGCGAACGGG